AUGAGCUCUCAUAGUGCCACAGUUUCUUCACUUUUUACAGCAUUCUCUGGUAGGAGCAGUGGCAUCAGGGGAGGUUCUCAUGAGCUGCACCAGCUCUGGCACCAUGGAGCAGCACCUCCGUGGACUCGCUGUCCCUCUCACGCCAUAGCUGCCCCGAGGUGGGCUUGGGUCCUUGUAUUUGCAAAGAAUAAACCAACAACGGGCAAACAUGCAAAGACCAUCUGUCUUCCACUCUGGAUAAAUCACUUGGAACUAAAGAGUGUUUCUUUGGUUUCCUUUUUUUUAAGAUCUUAUACUAGCUUUUCUUUUCAAGUGUGUUUUGAAGAGGAGGCCAUCAUCAGGGAGUUUGGUAAGACUUUUCCCGGGGAUUUAAGAAUUAAGAAUAGCUGAUGGAAUAUCCUGGGAACUCUGUUUCAUCGCGGAAUAUUUUGUGCG
rnacentral:lncRNA from 1 species